ACAGCAGCAGCCGCGGUAAUACGUAGGGUGCAAGCGUUAAUCGGAAUUACUGGGCGUAAAGCGUGCGCAGGCGGUUUGUUAAGACAGAUGUGAAAUCCCCGGGCUCAACCUGGGAACUGCAUUUGUGACUGGCAAGCUAGAGUGUGGCAGAGGGGGGUGGAAUUCCGCGUGUAGUAGUGAAAUGCGUAGAUAUGCGGAGGAACACCGAUGGCGAAGGCAGCCCCCUGGGCCAACACUGACGCUCAUGCACGAAAGCGUGGGGAGCAAACAGGAUUAGAUACCCGCGUAGUCCCUGUCUCUUAUAC
rnacentral:rRNA from 1 species